AUGUCCACCUGCCCGACACUGGGGUCAAGAUUGAAGUUCUUCCAGAUAUGCAUCGACGCGCCGACCUCGUUGUCGCAGCCGGCGCACUCGUCGACGACCCUGGCGCUUAUGUGAAGGUUGGCGUCGUCGGCGAUGCGGAUCAACUUGCCGCACCGGGCCCCGUCGGCGUACCACUCCGACGAGAGCGACACCACGAACUCAUCGUCGCUGUGGAACUGACCGUCGCACGACGACGGCCCGCCGCCCGGCUCCCCUUGCUGGAAGCCGUUCACUGUCAUUAUCGCAGCUCUUACAACCCAGAUUCUAAUACUCACUCUGUAA
rnacentral:rRNA from 1 species